UACCUUUUGACUUUCUGUUGAUAUAGUGC
rnacentral:piRNA from 1 species